GGGGAGCCAGUAAGACCUGGCCCAGACCUCAGCUAUACAAGCUGAUGGACUGAGUCAGGGGUCCAAGGCUCU
rnacentral:pre_miRNA from 9 species